rnacentral:rRNA from 1 species
CACGUAGGGUGCGAGCGUUGUCCGGAAUUAUUGGGCGUAAAGAGCUCGUAGGCGGUGUGUCGCGUCGGCCCGUGAAAACCUGCAGCUUAACUGUGGGCUUGCGGUCGAUACGGGCAUCACUGGAGUUCGGCAGGGGAGACUGGAAUUCCUGGUGUAGCGGUGAAAUGCGCAGAUAUCAGGAGGGAACACCCGGGUUGGCGAAGGCGGGUCUCU